rnacentral:rRNA from 1 species
CUUCGGGUUGUAAAGCACUUUCAGUAGGGAGGAAAGGUGCGUAGUUAAUACCUGCGCAAUUGACGUUACCUACAGAAGAAGCACCGGCUAACUCCGUGCCAGCAGCCGCGGUAAUACGGAGGGUGCGAGCGUUAUUCGGAAUUACUGGGCGUAAAGCGCACGCAGGCGGUUGCCCAAGUCAGAUGUGAAAGCCCCGGGCUUAACCUGGGAACUGCAUUUGAAACUGGGCGACUAGAGUAUGAAAGAGGAAAGCGGAAUUUCCAGUGUAGCAGUGAAAUGCGUAGAUAUUGGAAGGAACACCGAUGGCGAAGGCAGCUUUCUGGGUCGAUACUGACGCUCAUGUGCGAAAGCAUGGGGAGCAAACAGGAUUAGAUACCCUGGUAGUCCACGCCCUAAACGAUGUCAACUAGGCGUCGGGUUGUUAAAGACUCGGUGCCGGAGCUAACGCAUUAAGUUGACCGCCUGGGGAGUACGGCCGCAAGGUUGAAACUCAAAGAAAUUGACGGGGACCCGCACAAGCGGUGGAGCAUGUGGUUUAAUUCGAUGCAACGCGAAGAACCUUACCAGGCCUUGACAUCCUAGGAACUUGGCAGAGAUGCCUUGGUGCCUUCGGGAACCUAGAGACAGGUGUUGCAUGGCUGUCGUCAGCUCGUGUCGUGAGAUGUUGGGUUAAGUCCCGCAACGAGCGCAACCCUUAUCCUUACUUGCCAGCACUUUGGGUGGGAACUGUAAGGAGACUGCCGGUGACAAACCGGAGGAAGGUGGGGAUGACGUCAAGUCAU